AGGCAAAUAUAGAGAGAUAGGAAGAUAUAGCGGUAGUCCGUGAGAAAUAGGGGAAGAGAGAACGAGGGAUCAGUGGCGUAGUAAGGGGGAGGGCAAGGAAGGCAAGAUACCCGGUGGCCACACAAAGAGAGGCGGCCCCAAAAAACUCUUGAAGAUAUUUAGUUAGGUAAUACAUUCUAACGUUCUUUGUAUUCGUAUUUGAUCCACCUUUUACAUUCUCUAUUUCGUCUAAAAUGAAGAUUGGUAUAUCAUCAAUAUAUGUUUAUAUUUUGGUUAAUAUCUUCAGGACUAUUUGGUUCAGUUCGGCUAUCUGGAGCCACAAGAUCCUAAGACUGGCGCCUUGAGGUCGGAGCAGUCGUUCACUCAGGCCUUAAAGACUUUUCAAAAAAUGGCGGGAAUACCACAGACUGGUCAACUGGACAACAUGACGCAAGCUAUGAUGAAGCUUCCAAGGUGUGGCAACAAAGAUAACAUCGAGCUCGGAAUGGGCGCCAGAAAAAAGAGAUACGCCUUGCAAGAAUCAAGUCCUUUAAUAACUCUGUCUUUGGACUCAAGCACAGACUCUGAAACCCUGUCCAUGACUUUAUCAAGGCGUU
rnacentral:sRNA from 1 species